AGGGGGAAGGGGCACGAGCGGGCAGCGACCAGGCGUGGGGAGCCGAGCAGCGGAGCGCAUCGAUGGGCGCCCCUGCCCCCGAGCAGGUGUGCGGGGGAGGAAGAGCCCGGACCCCACCUGGCCGCCUGCGAGAGACCAGUCCCCAGGUCCCCAGCGGGUAGUCAGGGCCCACACGGAGGAGAGGGGAAGAGCGUAGCCUGCCUGAGCCCUGCGCAGUGUGUGUCUACCGUCUUCGUCCUCGCAGUCGCCCAUGUUGCCGAGAAGAACUGAGGCUCACGCGGGGGAACGUUCCGUGCCCACGGCCCCAUAGCUGCGAAGGACACAGGCAGGAUUGGCAACCAGGCCGUCUGGCUCCAGGCUCCGAUGCCCAGCUGAUACCCGGUGCGCGCCUGAACGAGGUCCACCUCUGCCCUUCAAGGUCUCAGAAGUCUCCAGGAAAAGGCUUGAGAUUCUGCCUGGUCGUGCUGAUUCUCUGAGCACUGGCUGCCCACUCCCUCCCACGGAGGGUGAGCUCAUGGCUGGGAGACAGUUGGCCGCAAGGCUUUUGUUCUUGUUUGAAUCUGGGCGGGGGGACUUCCCAAGGACAGGCCUGCAGAGGUGAAGGUGAGGGUGUGUGGGCCCGAGAGGAGCAGCAUAGCAGCCAGGGUGACAAGUAGACAGAGGGGGGCGGAUCCACCUCCAAACUGCUGCCUCUUCAUUUGCACCCACCCCCCCUACAGCCACCAGGCCACCAGCCCCGAUCUCUCCAGGACCCCCUCCCAGAUCCGGCCCCAGCCUAACUUUGCAGCCUCGCCGCCUCCUUCCCAUCCAGACUGGCGUUUUCCAGACACCUCACAAUCCUGGCUGCACAGAGCCCGCCUUUGCUUGUCCUGUUCCUUCUGCCUGGACCCCCUCCUGCCUUCUCCAGCCAUCACAACCCUGGUCCCCUUGGCCAUGUGCCACCCCCAGCUCCCACACCUGGCAGAGCUGGCCACGCCCUCCUGAGAGGCCCGGGAGCCCCUUGCUCAUCCCCGUGGCCCUCCGUGCUGGGCACGUGGCAGGUGAACCAGAUUCUCCAAGGGGGUGGCAGCUGCCGGAUUAGGGGUCUCCCAACCCCACGCAGCCUGGCCUGGGACGCGCUCAGCAUCAACACCCGCCUGAGUGUCCAGCCCUCCUCCUGCCCUGCGGGGGUGGGGCUGGGCUUGGGGGAAGAGCUGCCCCUAAACUCUAAAAUGGGCCAAGAUAUCGGCCAAGAGCCACAGGUGAGGUGUGCUGUCUGGAGCCGCAGGGAGACCAGGCCGAGCACCCUGGCCUCUGGUUUUCUCCUGGAGAUCCCUCUCUGGGCCCUCUUGACAUAGCCUCAGGUCCUGGUCAGUGGCCUCUAGAAUUGUCUGUCCACCUGCCUCCCCAUUAGGCUGUGAGCCUAACCCUGGCACACAGGAAGUGCUCAGGACGGUUUGAGGAUGGCUGUUCCAGGCAUCAGGGUCCCCCCUCCAGGCAUCCCCAAUCCCAGUGGGCCCAGCCCUCCGGGGAGAUCCAGGCUUCACCCAACAAGCACAACCACUCCCUGGGUGGGACGUCCAGAAAAGACGGGCCUGGGGCUGCCCAGAGGCGCUGAGCAGAGCUGGGUUUGGGCUUCAGGGGCGAGAAAGAAAAAGCUGGUCACUCCCCCAGGGUCCACCAGGCUCCGGGCGCCUUCCCUGGGGCCUCUUCGCAUGCAGGGCCAGUCCCCAUUUUCCUGUCCCCAACUCCAGCUCCUCCCCUGGGCCCAUGCGAGGCUCAGCUGCCUCCUGUCCCAGAAGGAGACAAACCUCUUCCGAGGCCUGCUCCCAGCUGCCGCUACCUCUUGCCAAACCUGCGCAGCUGAGCUUCCAGAAAGAGCGAUCCGCACACUCGGGUCCACACUGCCUCGCACCCUCUCACUGCCUUGACAUGCAGGGCCGGGCCGCCCUGCUCUGCCCGCUUCUGCUCCCCCAGCACAUGGCGGCGGUUGGAGACACCCGUCUGGCACUGGCUUGUCUUGACUUUGCCCUUCUCUGAGCCUCGGUUUCCUCAUCUGUAAAAUGCGGAUGACCGUCGCCACCUCCCUGGGCUCUUGGGAGCCCGUGGGGAGGUGCAUCCCUGGGGAGAGGCGGGGCUGCAGUGGCAGGUGGGGUUCUGCGUGGAAGGGGCAGGCGUAGCACCACCUAGAGGAGGUGAGCGGGGGUGUGCCAGGGAGCCCUGAGCCGGGCCCACAUUCUGGGAGACACAGAGCCUCCCUCAGCGCCCCAUCGAGGCUCCCGGCAGAUGUCUACACUGGAGACAUAGGAGGGGCCCAAGAAGCCGCCCUGAGCCCCUCCAGAGGCCUAUGCAGGGAGACCACGUGGGGUCAGGAAAGAGACCCAAGCCAGGAGACUGGGGUCGGCACCCCAUCCCAGUGUGACAAUGGGGCGGCAUAUUUAACAUGCCUGAACUUCAGUCUCCUCAUCUGUGAAAUGGGCACAUCAGGAGGUGUGCGGUUUACCCAAGGCACGGAGUGUGUGGCACAGACAGAGCUCUAACGUGUGUGUGGAGUGAGACAAGCUAGAAUUUCACAAGGAUGAUUUUAGAUGUACAGGGAUUAGCACUUGCAUUUUUAUGUGUUUUCCAUAUUAGAGGAAGGGACUUCCCUGGCGGUCCAGUGGUUAAGACUGAGUUUCCACUGCAGGGGGCGCAUGUUCGAUCCCUGGUUGUUGAAGUAAGAUCCUGCGUGCCAUGCAGUGCAGCAAAAAAAAAAAAGAUAUUAGGGCUUCCCUGGUGGCGCAGUGGUUGAGAGUCCGCCUGCCGAUGCAGGGGACGCGGGUUCAUGCCCCGGUCCGGGAAGAUCCCACAUGCCUCAGAGCGGCUGGGUCCGUGAACCAUGGCCGCUGAGCCUGCGCGUCCAGAGCCUGUGCUCCGCAACGGGAGGGGCUGCAACAGUGAGAAGCCCACGUACCACAAAAAAAAAAUAAAAUAAAAUAAAAAUAAAAAUAAAGAUAUUAGAGGGAAAGGCUGGCCUUCCGUUUGCAGAAGAUAUAAAGCAUCUUCGCAGAGACCCUGAGUGGCCCUCGAAGGGGCGAGGGCCCAGGUAGUUUGGGUUCCUGUUCGUUAACUGGCUGGUGGUGUGAUUUUUACCCUAGGUACUUUCUACAGGUUAAAAAAAAAAAAGGAUCUUUUAUCAUUACUAAAAUAUUUACCAAAUUAUCUCGUGCGUGCCAGGUCAUGGGGUAAAAGCUAGGACCAAGAAAUGAUUCAGAAACAAUCUCUUCUCAGUUUAUAGAGGAGACGUGUAAAAUGAUAUUUUAUUUUUUUCAAACUUUUACUUUAGCUCCAUGUGAGAGUAAUAGCCACCGUGGAAAAUUUGGUGAAUGCAGACGAGUCCACAGAAGAAAAUACACGGUGCCUGCCACCCUCCCUUCCAGAGAGAGCCACUGGCAUGUGAGCCACUCAGACGUCCCCUUUGUCUUCUUUCCCUACGGACUACCCUCUGAGUAACCGUCAGCCCCGAUGCGGUCCUUCUCUGCUGCUUAUUCGGUGCAAGCCGCCUCUGUGAGCUGCACCUUCCUCGUCUCUGAAAUAGAGCUUAAAACGCGUUCCCUCCCCCGUGGGACAGUGUGAAGCCGAGUGCAGCAGUGAAUGUGGAGUGGUGUAGCCGGCGGGGCGGCAGGUGCUUGGUAGACAGCGGCUACCAAGGGAAGCCCGAGAAGCGGGCUACCAAGGGAAGCAGAAGAAGCGCACUGCGCCACCAGGGAAGCCCGAGAGCCAUUUUUAUUGUGGAAAAUUUCAAACAUAUACACAGUGAACCGUAGAGUGAUCCCCUAGGUACCCAUCUCAACACUGGUUAUAUUCUGCUCUUCCUGUCACCACCCCAUAUUCUUGUUGUUUUUAUUUUUCCUGGAUUCACUUAGAGUGUAUCUCAGAUAUAUCAGAACCCAUGAAAAUACUUCAGCUUGUUCCAUGCACAUCUUUAGUAGUAAGGUUUUUUUUUUUUGAGGCAUAAUCAUAAUAUCGUCAGAUACCUAUAAAAUUAACAAUAAUUCCUCAAUGUUUUAUAAUUCCCCAAUUAUCUCUAAAAAUGUCUUCUUAUAGUUUGUUCAAAUCAGGUUCUGGGAAAUUCCCUGGCAGUCCAAUGGUUAGAACUCUGCGCUUCCACUGCAGGGGGCACGGGUUCGAUCCCUGGUUGGGGAAUUAAGGUUCUAAAUCAGGUACCAAAAGCAACACACUGCACUUGGUAGAUGGGUCAUUACGUCUCUUUUAGUCUGAAAUAGUUCUCCCUUGGUUUGUUUUUCCUAUGCGAUAUAUUUGAUGACAUUGCGUUACUUGUCUUGUAGAAUUUUCUGAAUUAUGGAUUUAGAAGACUGUACAUUUGUGGUGGUGUUGAACAAGCUCCUCUAGCCCCAGUAUUUCCUAUAAACUCAGUUUCAUCCCAAGCAGCGGUCCUCAAUUUUGCCCCCAAGGAACAUUUUGCAGUAUCCUCUGAAGAGAGUCCCUUAGGAGGCACUGCGCUGGGGAUGGGAGUGGGACCAGUAGAGUGGUCUACAUCUAGGGGUCACUCCCAGCAUCCACGCAUGUGUACUUCCUACAUGUCCCAUCAGGAGUGGACAGCUCAUCCCACUCUUAGCAACAUCGCCUUGGACUAGGGGGUCCCGGUGCUGUCAGCACAUCACCUGAUGAUUCCGCAGCCAUUUGUAAUCAUGGUCUAGAUCAACCACUCGGGUUGCGGGAUGGUGAGACCUAUUUUUUUUUUUAGUGUAAUGCAAUUAUGACUUUAAUACUUUCUCACAUACUGUUUACAAAGGGCUUUCCCAUCCAGGAUCGAAUAACCAAACUCACAGCUAUGCUGGAGGCGGGUCCAAUAAUCUUCCUCUUUUUUUGUAAAUUGAUUUUUACUGGAGUAUAGUUAAUGUACAGUGUUGUGUUAGUUUCUGCUGUACAGCAAAGUGAAUCAGUUAUACAUAUACAUAUAUCCACUCUUGUUUAGAUUUUUUUCCCAUAUAGGUCAUUACAGAGUAUUAACUAGAGUUCCCUGUGCUACACAGUAGGUUUUUUAAAAAAUUAAUUAAUUAAUUAUUACCUUUUUUUUGGCUGCGUUGGGUCUUCGUUGCUGCAUGCGGGCUUUCUCUAGCUGUGGCGAGCGGGGGCUACUCUUGGUUGCGGUGCACGGGCUUCUCAUUGCAGUGGCUUCUCUUGUUGUGGAGCACGGGCUCUAGGCACAUGGGCUUCAGUAGUUGUGGCACGUGGGCUCAGUAGUUGUGGCUCGCGGGCUCUAGAGCGCAGGCUCAGUAGUUGUGGCACAUAGGCUUAGCUGCUCCACGGCAUGUGGGAUCUUCCUGGACCAGAGCUCGAACCCGUGUCCCCUGCACUGGCAGGGGGAUUCUUAACCACUGUGCCCCCAGGGAAGCCCUAUACUGUAGGUUCUUAUUAGUUAUCUAUUUUAUACAUAGUAGUGUGUCUAAGUCAAUCCCAAUCUCCCCAUUUAUCGAUAAUCUUCUGAUAAUUUUCUCCAGACAAGGAGGCUGAGAUCAGAGAAGGGAAGGGGCACAAGACCCCACAGCUCAAAAGGAGAAGCAGGCCAGGCCUGGGCAGGGCCGCCGCCCAGAGCUCCAUUCACUGGAGGAUGCUGAGCUCAUGCAGCUGCAGAGAAGGGAGGAAAGGCCCUGUGAUCUUCUUUUAAGAGCUACAAAAGUUCUAAAGGGUUCUCUGCUGUGCAUCAGCUGUUUCUAGCAUCCCUCUCCAACCUCAGAGGCCACUGCUCACCCAUGACACAAAGGGGGGCCCGGCUCACACCCCUUCAGGCCUCCUGCCACCUCCAGGAUAAGACCCAAACCCUCUCAAGCCCCUCCCACAUCUGUCUUCCCAUCUUUUCCCACAUCACGGUCCCCACCCCAGCCAAACCCAACUGGGACACCGAACUCGGAUUCUGAUACACUAACAGGAGACCUCUGCUACGGCUUGACCAGCUGCUCUCGGUGGGCACUAAGGAGGCGGUUAACCCCUGUCCAGCACCCAUGUGUGCAGGCACGUUAUUGCUUUUAACACUGGGGAGUGGGUUUCACCUUUUCAGCUUUCACAUGAGAAAACUGAGGCUUGGAGAGGGUGACCGGCUUGCCAAAGGGGACCGGAGCUCAUGAGGAGCCAUGCAGGACGGCCUCGGCCCGGGCUUCUUCCAGGUGGCCCCAGGCAGCCACCUCCCCGGGGCUGGGAAAAGGUGGGCCCCAGAAAGUGUGGCGGAGAGCUCCACUCCACACGCCGUCGGAGCUCCCCGUGCCAGGCCUUGGUCUCCUGUGCUUUCUGUCAUCUGCAACACACUGGAGAGUGGUCACUGCCAGGAAGGAAACCACGCUGUUCACGGCCAAUCUGCAGAGUGACGGGGUGGAAACGGACCCCAGUAUGUUUCUUCCAGAUGAAACGGGUAACUCAUUCCACAGGAAGGGCCGCGUGUAUGCCCUUGGAGUGUGUGAAAUUGACGACUGCACCGCCUUCCUCCCCCUGCCCUGCCCAGGGAUAUCACGUGGCCUUGUCAAGGCCACCCAGCUGUUCGGGGCAGAGCUGGGCCCCGCAUGCGUCACCCUGCACCCCUGGCCUGCUGACUUCCGAGGCCCCUGAGUGGGGCGGGGCUAUCUGGGGGCAAGAUAAGAAGAGCCAGCCUUCUAAGGAAGGGGGCUGCCCGGGCUCGGGGGGCUUCACCGCUUUCCUUCAAACUGCUGAAAACUUCAGAGGGCCAGAGCUCAGGCAGGCUGCAGAGACCCUCCUAAGUUUAUCGAGGAGAGACGAAAGAGGAAAUUGUGGUAUCUUUAUCACCAGACAGCUAGGGCUGAGGGAGGUUUACUGACUUAGAAAAAUAAAAUUCAUACCAUUGUUAUAAAGCAGAAACUAACACACCAUUGUAAAGCAAUUAUACUCCAAUAAAGAUGUUAAAAAAAAAAGAUUCAUACCAACAUCAGGUUGAGGGCCUGGCACAUUAGUAGGCUCUUAACAUGUGUUUGUUGAAUGAAUGAAUGUUUCCAAACCCUAUUUUUUGCGACCAAGGCCCAGAGACCUCCUUUUCUUCCCAAUUAGUAGCUUAAUGCCAACAUGAAGACACGCUGGCCCCCAAAAGGCCCCAAACUGCUGUCCCUACUUCCACGUGACGGCUCAGUAAGGUCAAGGUGUAGACUCCAAGGCUCCACUGUUCUCCAACCUCGUCCAGGUAACAAAACACCCUCCCAGCACAAUGGCACCAAGCCUGGGAGAAGCGUUUCUGAGCGGGGGACCCGAGUUCAGCAUGAGGACAUGACCCAGAGGCUCAGGUCUCCCCACUUCCUCCCAAGCUCAGGAAGGGAAGGCCCGGUGGGGGAGUGGGCCUGGGGAAGUGAGGGUCCCAGAAGGAGACCACCUGAGACCCUACCAACACCUGCUGGCAGAGAGGCCAGGCUCACCCAGCACCCCUGGUAGGGCCUUACUGGGGGGAGGUGGGGCUGCCAGCAGGACUGAGUGCCACGCAAUUUCAGGCUCCCAAGGCUGGGGCACGGAGACAGGCCCAGGUGAGUGUGAGGGGUGGUGACCAGAGCAGUGCAGCACCGCUGCUAAGAGCCAGGGCCCACCACUGUGAGUGUGCCUCCCGAAGGGUCCCCAACCUCUCUGAGUAGUCCUGGGGUCUGCGAGCGAUCGCUGCAGGCUACAGGGACGCCGGGGGCGCACGCAAGCCCAGAGGGGGAGUCGUGGAGGGGGCUGCUGCCUAUCGCUGGCUCGCAGCUUCCGGUGUGUGGGAGGACGCCGUGGUCACACCUGACAUCUGUGACCGGCAGGAACUGGGUCCGGAGCAGGGCCACAGGAGUUGCCCCCGGGGCUGGGAGGAGAAGAGCUGAGAGUCAGGCCCAGAGGGGCCAGGAUGUGCUCGAGGCCCUCAGUGAGCCUGGGGUUUU